UGUGACAUUUUAGACCUCAGUCCAGUGAUCCAUCAAACAUAUGGAUUUGUGCUUUAAAUUUGAUCUUUAUCUUUAAUAAUGGAUUCACAGCUAAACUGAUCUGAGAGAGUGAAGAGUGUGUCAUUGUUCUCUACAGGUUGUGUGAUUGUGGGGUCACAGAUGAAGGUUGUGCUGCUCUGUCUUCAGCUCUGCGAUCAAACCCCUCACACCUGAGAAAACUUAAUCUGUCAUGGAAUAAACUAGGAGAUUCAGUAAAGCUGCUUUCUGAUGUACUACAGAAUCCUCACUGUAAACUAGAGAUACUAUGGUUGAGUGAUUGUGGCGUCACAGAUAAAGUUUGUGCUGCUCUGACUUCAGCUCUGAGAUCAAACCCCUCACACCUGAGAGAACUGAAUCUAUCUGUGAAUAAACUAAGAGAUUCAGUGAAGCUGCUUUCUGAUGUACUACAGAAUCCUCACUGUAAACUGGAGAAACUGUGGUUGAGUAAGUGUGGCAUCACAGAUGAAGGUUGUGAUGCUCUCACUUCAGCUCUGAGAUCAAACCCCUCACACCUGAGACACCUGGAUCUGUCUGAGAAUAAACUAGGGGAUUCAGGAGUGAAGUUACUCUCGUAUCUGAAGGAUGAUCCAAAUUAUAAACUGGAAACAUUAUACUAUUACUCUCAGUAUUGACACUUCAGUCCAGUUUCCUCAGGAUCAGAUGAUGGUGAAUAAGGAGCCGCUACAGAGACAUCACAGUCACACAAUCAGCAG